GGAAUAUAAGAACCUGUCUCUUAUCUUUUAACUAAAAAAGCUUAGAACCAGUUCUUAAAUCUUUUAUUUAAAAACUGCUUCUUAGCAUUUUUAGUUGAAAGUUAAGAGACGGGUUCUUAUAUUCC
rfam:Brassica napus, WGS project CCCW01000000 data, contig: 10120